rnacentral:rRNA from 1 species
GAUGAACGCUAGCGGCAGGCCCAACACAUGCAAGUCGAGGGGUAUAAGUCUUCGGACUUUGAGACCGGCGCACGGGUGCGUAACGCGUAUGCAAUCUACCUUGUACAGAGGGAUAGCCCAGAGAAAUUUGGAUUAAUACCUCAUAGUAUAUUUGAAUGGCAUCAUUUAAAUAUUAAAGUUCCAACGGUACAAGAUGAGCAUGCGUCCCAUUAGUUAGUUGGUGUGGUAACGGCACACCAAGACGAUGAUGGGUAGGGGUCCUGAGAGGGAGAUCCCCCACACUGGUACUGAGACACGGACCAGACUCCUACGGGAGGCAGCAGUGAGGAAUAUUGGUCAAUGGAGGCAACUCUGAACCAGCCAUGCCGCGUGCAGGAUGACGGUCCUAUGGAUUGUAAACUGCUUUUAUACGGGAAGGAAAAGAGUUACGUGUAACUUAUUGACGGUACCGUAAGAAUAAGGAUCGGCUAACUCCGUGCCAGCAGCCGCCGUAA